GGGGUGAGGCUCUGGGAGCAGGCAGCAUCCACCUGAUGAACUGCGUCUGUAUUCCGUAGGAACACUGUCAUACAGCCCGCCAGAGUGGAUCUACCUCAAGCGCUACCACGGCGAGGAGGCGACCAUCUGGUCCCUGGGCAUCCUGCUCUACCAGAUGGUCUGCGGGAAGCACCCUUUCCGCAAAGGCACCAACACCAUCUGGGACCAGCUCCCGUUCCCAGCACGGGUCUCUCCAGGCUGCCAGCACCUUAUCAGGUGGUGUUUGUCCAUCCGCCCCUCGGACAGGCCAGCAUUGGAAGACCGUUUGUGCCAUCCUUGGGUGCAGGGCAUUCCCCUGCCCUAGAAGACGGGAGAGAUCCACGUGCUCCCUUUGAUCCAGGGGCCUGGCAGACAGCUGGGCCCUCGGCAGAACGCUGACAGCCUGGUCUGGCCCCCAGGGAAGGAGAAGGGGCCUCUGGAGAAGCUGUGCCGGGUGGGCCUGCUGCUGGAGACAUCGAGGACGACGUCAGGGAUGACAAGCUCUCAGCUGACCUGGACGCCGGCCAGCUGAAGAGGAUGGACUUUGAUUCUGGCCCCUUCCUCCAAGCCGUGCUCCACACGCCGUUUGCAGAUGAGUCCACACCCAGGGGGUGCUCCCGGACACGGGCAUUGCACAGCCUGGCUGGGCACCGAAGG